ACUCCAGCCUGGCCCCGCCCCGGCCCAGCUACAUUCCCGGGCCAGCUUCUGUACUGCCAGGUCCGGGUCGGCGGCUGCACUGCGGAUGAGACCGGUGCGACUCAUGAAGGUGUUCGUCACCCGCAGGAUACCCGCCGAGGCUGUGAGGUGGAGCAGUGGGACACGGAUGAGCCCAUCCCCGCCCAGGAGCUAGAGCGAGGUGUGGCGGGGGCCCAUGGCCUGCUCUGCCUCCUCUCCGACCACGUGGACAAGAGGAUCCUGGAUGCUGCAGGGGCCAAUCUCAAAGUCAUCAGCACCAUGUCUGUGGGCGUCGACCACUUGGCUUUGGAUGAAAUCAAGAAGCGUGGGAUCCGAGUUGGCUACACCCCAGAUGUCCUGACAGAUACCACCGCCGAACUCGCAGUCUCCCUGCUACUUACCACCUGCCGCCGGUUGCCGGAGGCCAUCGAGGAAGUGAAGAAUGGUGGCUGGACCUCGUGGAAGCCCCUCUGGCUGUGUGGCUAUGGACUCACGCAGAGCACUGUCGGCAUCAUCGGGCUGGGGCGCAUAGGUGAGGCUCCCACCGGCCCGCUUGCCCGCCCCGGCUCUCACAGCGUGGUUUGCAUCCCUGGCACCACGUGUCUGAAGGCUGAGAAGACCCGCAUGCUGUCAGGGCACUUUGCUUACAGUAGAGGUAUUUCUAGUGAGGGAUACCGCUUUGUAAAACACAGGCAAAUACAUAAAUAAACCAAAGCAGGAUUCCUUAAGAACUCACCAGGUGAUAAAAGCAAGUUGCCUAAGGGUCAGGGGGCUUCAUGAUUCCGGCUCCAUAAAGAACAGAUGAAGACUACAAAUGUGUCGGGGCCGUUAGGAGUGGUUACCGUGAGAGAGCCCAUUCCCCCGACACCUACUGCGGCUUGUGUUCUGGAAGGUAUGUGACUCACAAAGCCCUAACUCGGGCCAGAGGGCUCAGUGGGCAGAGUUGAUCUGCAGUUCUGCAGCUGAGGCAGAGACACUUUUCUUCCAGUGGCCCUUAUUUGGAGAAGCCUGGCAGAAGGGCUUGGGCCUAGCCAAGCAGCUAUCUAUUGGUGGUUCUCUGUCAUCCUGCCUGGUGCAGGAGUGCGGGUGAGGGUGGAGAGUGUGGAGAACCUGUCUAG
rnacentral:sRNA from 1 species